rnacentral:sRNA from 2 species
CCCGACAGUAUGCCGAGCCCUGCCACUGUUACGGGAACCAAUCGCUUUCCAGCUGGCAGGGACGGGGGAACCAAGUUUCCGCGGCCUUUUUAAGGCCUUGGGGUUAAGUCGAUAGCGCCUCCGUCCAUAACGGGGGUUGCCACCGGCCGGGUAUCUCCAACCCGAACCCGACAGCUCACCCCGCAGGCAUGGGAGAGGCGAUCA